UAGAUGCCCUGUCUCAAAAAAUUACUGAGUGCCAACUAUGAGAGAUGCGGUGACAUCUCCCAGCAUUGAGAAGGCCAGGACAGGGGGACCAAGAGUUAAAGGCCAGCCUGUCUACGGUUUGGCAGGAGUGGCGCAUGCCUUUAACCCUAGCAUUCAGGAAGCAGAAGCAGGCAGAGCUCUUGACAAAGUGAGUUCCAGGACAACCAGGACCACACAUAGAAACCCUGUCUCAAAUAAGCUGAAUAAAUAAAGCAGAAGUACAACUAAUCUAGUCACAUUAGGGAUACAAGUCCCAGAAGUGAGAGGACUCGCAGCAGAGACAGCAGUAAGGUAGGACUGGUGGCAGUGUAGACCCGGAGAGAGCAAGCCUGUGUGGACUAGAGCCACCUAGUGGCUAUCGGGAGGAACAGCAAGCACAUCCCAAGGAGAUGAACCUGCAGGUGCUGCAGAAGGAAUGGCCAGCAGGACAGGGUCUGGAGGCCUGCAGGAGACAUCUGGACAUUUGUUUUACUGAGAGUGGUGAAAGGCCCUAUUUCUUUGAGGGGAAGACUGGCAUGAAGUAGCUGUGCUUCCAAACUUCCUGGUGAGCCAAGUGCGGUAGGACACACCUGUAAUCCUAGCAUAUGAGCAAGGUUCAAGGUGAACUUGGUCACAAAGUGAAUAUGAGACCAGUCGGGCCUCUAUGAGAUCCUAUCUCAAAAAACGGAGAAAGCUGCUUGGGGAGCACAGGCAUUAAGGACUGGGGGUUAGAG
rnacentral:lncRNA from 1 species